CAAGUCGUGGGGCAGCAUGUCCCGUAGCAAUACGGGAUGAUGGCGACCGGCAAACGGGUGCGGAACACGUACACAACCUUCCUUUUAGUGGGGAAUAGCCCGGGGAAACCCGGAUUAAUACCCCGUAAUAUAAUAGAGUGGCAUCACUUUAUUAUUAUAGCAGCAAUGCGCUUAAAGAUGGGUGUGCGACUGAUUAGGCAGUUGGCGGGGUAACGGCCCACCAAACCUACGAUCAGUAACUGGUGUGAGAGCACGACCAGUCACACGGGCACUGAGACACGGGCCCGACUCCCACGGGAGGCAGCAGUAAGGAAUAUUGGUCAAUGGACGCAAGUCUGAACCAGCCAUGCCGCGUGGAGGAUGAAGGUCCUCUGGAUUGUAAACUUCUUUUAUCUGGGAAGAAAUCCACGAAUUCUUUUGUGGUUGACGGUACCAGAUGAAUAAGCACCGGCUAACUCCGUGCCAGCAGCCGCGGUAAUACGGAGGGUGCAAGCGUUAUCCGGAUUCACUGGGUUUAAAGGGUGCGUAGGUGGGCAGGUAAGUCAGUGGUGAAAUCUCCGGGCUUAACUCGGAAACUGCCAUUGAUACUAUCUGUCUUGAAUACCGUGGAGGUCAGCGGAAUAUGUCAUGUAGCGGUGAAAUGCUUAGAUAUGACAUAGAACACCAAUUGCGAAGGCAGCUGGCUACACGAAUAUUGACACUGAUGCACGAAAGCGUGGGGAUCAAACAGGAUUAGAUACCCUGGUAGUCCACGCCCUAAACGAUGGAUACUCGACAUACGCGAUAUACUGUGUGUGUCUGAGCGAAAGCAUUAAGUAUCCCACCUGGGAAGUACGAUCGCAAGAUUGAAACUCAA
rnacentral:rRNA from 1 species